rnacentral:rRNA from 1 species
GACGAACGCUGGCGGCGUGCCUAAUGCAUGCAAGUCGAGCGAAGUUUUUCUGGUGCUUGCACUAGAAAAACUUAGCGGCGAACGGGUGAGUAACACGUAAAGAACCUGCCUCAUAGACUGGGACAACUAUUGGAAACGAUAGCUAAUACCGGAUAACAGUAUUUCUCGCAUGGGAGAUAUUUAAAAGUUGGUUAUGCUAACACUAUGAGAUGGCUUUGCGGUGCAUUAGCUAGUUGGUGGGGUAAAGGCCCACCAAGGCGACGAUGCAUAGCCGACCUGAGAGGGUGAUCGGCCACACUGGGACUGAGACACGGCCCAGACUCCUACGGGAGGCAGCAGUAGGGAAUCUUCCGCAAUGGGCGAAAGCCUGACGGAGCAACGCCGCGUGAGUGAAGAAGGAUUUCGGUUCGUAAAGCUCUGUUGUUAGGGAAGAAUGGAUAUGUAGUAACUAUACAUGUAAGAGACGGUACCUAACCAGAAAGCCACGGCUAACUACGUG